rnacentral:rRNA from 1 species
UACAGAGGGCUCAAGCGUUGUUCGGAUUCAUUGGGCGUAAAGGGUGCGUAGGCGGCGCGGUAAGUCGGGUGUGAAAUCCUGGAGCUUAACUCCGAAACUGCAUUCGAUACUGCCGUGCUUGAGGACUGGAGAGGAGACUGGAAUUUACGGUGUAGCGGUGAAAUGCGUAGAUAUCGUAAGGAAGACCAGUGGCGAAGGCGGGUCUCUGGACAGUUCCUGACGCUGAGGCACGAAGGCCAGGGGAGCAAACGGG